rnacentral:rRNA from 1 species
GCCCGUCGCUCCUACCGAUUGGAUGACUCGGUGAAAUCACCGGAUGCUUACGAGCAGAAAGUGAUUAAAUCACGUUAUCUAGAGGAAGGAGAAGUCGUAACAAGGUAACGGUAGGUGAACCUGCCGUUGGAUCAGUUCUAGUUUUAAUAACUAACACCAACUUCUUUUAUUAAACAAAAACCAAUACAAAAUUAAAAACUAACUUCAUCAAAAACCAAGUCUCUAAGCAAUGGAUGUCUUGGCUCCUCACACGAUGAAGAACGUGGCAUAAUGUGUUAAGUAACCGGAGUUGCAAACAUCAUGACAGGUUAAUCUUUGAAUGCAAAU